CAGCCGCCACGGUAAUACGGAGGGUGCAAGCGUUAAUCGGAAUUACUGGGCGUAAAGCGUGCGCAGGCGGUUUGUUAAGACAGAUGUGAAAUCCCCGGGCUCAACCUGGGAAUUGCGAUGGAUACUGGGCGACUAGAGUGCGGUAGAGGAUAGUGGAAUUUCCGGUGUAGCAGUGAAAUGCGUAGAGAUCGGAAGGAACAUCUGUGGCGAAGGCGACUAUCUGGGCCAACACUGACACUGAGACACGAAAGCGUGGGGAGCAAACAGGAUUAGAUACCCGUGUAGUCCCUGUCUCUUAUAC
rnacentral:rRNA from 1 species